AGAUUGAACGCUGGCGGCAUGCCUUACACAUGCAAGUCGAACGGUAGAGUAGCAAUACUCGAGAGUGGCGAACGGGUGAGUAAUAUAUCGGAACGUGCCCAGUCGUGGGGGAUAACGUAGAGAAAUUUACGCUAAUACCGCAUACGAUCUAAGGAUGAAAGCGGGGGACUCGCAAGAGCCUCGCGCGAUUGGAGCGGCUGAUAUCAGAUUAGGUUGUUGGUGAGGUAAAAGCUCACCAAGCCGACGAUCUGUAGCUGGUUUGAGAGAACGACCAGCCACACUGGGACUGAGACACGGCCCAGACUCCUACGGGAGCAGCAGUGGGAAUUUGGACAAUGGGACGAAAGCCUGAUCCAGCAAUGCCGCGUGCAGGAAGAAGGCCGUUACGGUGUAAACUGUACUUUUUGUACGGUAACGAAAGGUCUAGACCCUAAGUACCGGCGGCCCAGUCGACCGGUAACGUAAGAAGUAACGCGACCGACUAACGUACGUACGG
rnacentral:rRNA from 1 species